UUUCCCCUGGCCACCGAGAGUGGAGCAGUGAGGUUGGGCGAUAAACAGGCUGUGGCUGGGGAGGAGGGGCGGGGACAUUUGUUCCUCCGGGACUUUUCACGCCCCCUAUUUCGUUAGGUGUGGUUAGGUUCGGACGCGGGGUCCUGGCGGCGGGCUGGAGCCUACUUCUUUGUGAAAGGGGAAAGUAGCUCCCUCGGAGAACUGGUGAAGUUGCGGAGCGGGUGCGAGACGGCGGUUUUCCCCUAUGCCAGCCAAAUGGUGCGGCCCUGAGCUGUUUCAGGACCCAGCCCGACGUGUCUGAGAGAGGCCCCGGAAGGGGCAGGGAGGUGGCCCGCAGAACGCGGGUUCUGUGAAGAGACGUGGAGAAAAUUCGACUCGGAGAAGAGGAAGAGCCCGAUUGAAAGGGAGCGAGGCCGCUGAGGGGGAGGGGGCUGCCAAGAUGGCGUCGGCCUCCUCAGGGCCGUCGUCGGUCGGGUUUUCAUUCGCGGAUCCCGGCGUCCCUUCCUGCGCCUCGUCCUCAGGUUUCAACUUUCUGUGCUGUGGGGUCAGCCGUAAGAGAGCAUCUGGAAUCAAGAGACCCAUGGCAUCUGAGGUGCCAUAUGCCUCUGGCAUGCCCAUGAAGAAAAUAGGCCACCGAGGUGUUGAUUCCUCAGGAGAGACGACAUAUAAAAAGACAACCUCAUCUGCCUUGAAAGGUGCCAUCCAGUUAGGCAUUACUCACACUGUGGGAAGCCUGAGCACCAAACCAGAGCGUGAUGUCCUCAUGCAAGACUUCUAUGUGGUGGAGAGUAUCUUCUUUCCCAGUGAAGGGAGCAACUUGACUCCUGCUCAUCACUACAAUGACUUUCGCUUCAAAACCUAUGCACCUGUUGCCUUCCGUUACUUUCGGGAGUUAUUUGGUAUCCGGCCUGAUGAUUACUUGUACUCCCUCUGCAGUGAGCCACUGAUUGAACUCUGCAGCUCUGGGGCCAGUGGUUCCCUCUUCUAUGUGUCCAGUGACGAUGAAUUCAUCAUUAAAACAGUCCAGCAUAAAGAGGCGGAGUUUCUGCAGAAGCUGCUUCCAGGAUACUACAUGAACCUCAACCAGAACCCUCGCACUUUGCUGCCUAAAUUCUAUGGACUGUACUGUGUGCAGGCAGGUGGUAAGAACAUUCGAAUUGUGGUGAUGAACAAUCUCUUACCACGGUCAGUCAAGAUGCACAUCAAAUAUGACCUCAAGGGCUCAACCUACAAACGGCGGGCUUCCCAAAAAGAGCGAGAGAAGCCUCUACCCACCUUUAAAGACCUGGACUUCUUACAAGACAUUCCAGAUGGUCUUUUUUUGGAUGCUGAUAUGUACAAUGCUCUAUGUAAGACCUUACAGCGUGACUGUUUGGUGCUGCAGAGCUUCAAGAUAAUGGACUAUAGUCUCUUGAUGUCAAUCCAUAACAUAGAUCAUGCCCAACGAGAGCCCUUAGGCAAUGAAACACAGUAUUCAGUUGAUACUCGCAGACCAGCCCCCCAAAAGGCUCUCUAUUCUACAGCUAUGGAAUCUAUCCAGGGCGAGGCUCGGCGAGGUGGCACCAUGGAGACUGAUGACCAUAUGGGUGGCAUCCCGGCCCGCAAUAGUAAGGGGGAAAGGCUGCUGCUUUAUAUUGGGAUCAUUGACAUUCUUCAGUCUUACAGGUUUGUUAAGAAGUUGGAGCACUCUUGGAAAGCUCUGGUACAUGAUGGGGACACCGUAUCGGUGCAUCGGCCAGGCUUCUAUGCUGAACGGUUCCAACGCUUCAUGUGCAACACAGUGUUCAAGAAGAUACCCUUGAAGCCCUCUCCUUCCAAAAAGUUUCGGUCUGGCUCAUCUUUCUCUCGGCGAGCAGGCCCCAGCGGCAACUCCUGCAUUACUUACCAGACAUCGGUCUCUGGGGAGCACAAGGCACAAGUGACAACAAAGGCGGAAGUGGAGCCAGGCGUCCACUUCGGUCGUCCUGAUGUUUUACCUCAGACUCCACCUUUGGAGAAAAUCAGUGAGGUCACGACUAUUCCUGACCCCUAUUUCUCACCUGUAGUUGGAGAGACUUUACAAAUGCAAUCUACAAGCAUUCAGUUCCUUGUGGGUUACUGGACAGAGGGCAUUAGUUCCUCACCAGCUGUUGGCUGGGGACCUCCCUGUUCUUUGCCACGUGAGCCUCUCUGUUAGGACAACUCAGCACAUAGCAGCUGGCUUCUCUCAAGAUUCAAUCCUCUUGGAAAAGCCUGAAGUUGCAGAGUCAGAGUUCACCCAUUGAGCAAAAAAAUUCAGAAGACUUAGAACAAGAUUCUACCAGCUCGG